CAGACUCGGAUCAGAAGGUGCCCAACAAGUCAGACAUAACUAGUGCCCAAGCCAACCCCACCAGCCAAUCAAGGACAUCAGCUGGUUGGUGCUGGGGAUGCACCCUUGGGAAUCACUUUGGUUUGGCCAAACCUCUGCAGGACGGUCCAUGUCCGCGUCAUGUCAGAGCGAGGCUGCUAACGGGUUAAAAGUUGACGCGUGUCUGAGCUCCAGAGCUCCAGGCAGGCGCUAAAGUCUGAACAGCAGCCUUGCGCUUCCAUCAUCACUCCAGCAGGCUGGUGGGACCAGAGCAGAAGGACCUCCAGACCCUGUAACUAUGUAGGAGCUUCCGAGUGAUCCUUCAUCCGUCUCCUGAGCCAAGGACAGCAGGGGAGGCAGCGGCAGCAUGUAAAAGCCUCUGAAGCGGCGUUUUCCACUUUAAAGCUCAUGUCCCAUCGCGCUGAACCCGGCUCUUCACUCGCCACCUCCAGCACCGCACCAGUGGGACUCCGCUCGGGCUGCCAUAAAAGCCCCCUGCUUCCCUCUUUCUAACUUCUCAGUGAUGUUUCACGGCGAGGAAGGUCGUUACAGCGAUGGUGUGCACUGAUGCUCCUGCAAAACAUCUGGAUUUCAGCUUCAUCCGCCUUAUUUAAGAGAUCAGAGGGAAAAAUCCAGCGUCCAAGAUGAGAAAACUUCAGACUUUCUUAAUUCUGCUCUGUUUGCA